UAUACUAACUAUUACAACAUUAGUGGCUAAUUGUGUCAGGAUGGAAACAUAGCAGCACCGUGCAUUGAUUAAUGUGUGUAAUAGUUUUUUUAUUACG
rnacentral:SRP_RNA from 1 species